rnacentral:rRNA from 1 species
UACGAAGGGGGCUAGCGUUGCUCGGAAUCACUGGGCGUAAAGGGUGCGUAGGCGGGUCUUUUAAGUCAGGGGUGAAAUCCUGGAGCUCAACUCCAGAACUGCCUUUGAUACUGAAGAUCUUGAGUUCGGGAGAGGUGAGUGGAACUGCGAGUGUAGAGGUGAAAUUCGUAGAUAUUCGCAAGAACACCAGUGGCGAAGGCGGCUCACUGGGCCUGUAACGUGAACGCUGAGGAGAAGAACGGGAGGUACAGCAAGG